GAAUUUAGGUUAACUACAAACCAAGGACCUUCAAAGCCCUAAAUAGGUUACUACCUAAUUCCUG
rnacentral:tRNA from 1 species